rnacentral:rRNA from 1 species
CCUACGGGAGGUAGCAGUGGGGAAUAUUGGGCAAUGGAGGAAACUCUUACCCAGCAAUGCCGCGUGAAUGAAGAAGGUCUUCGGAUUGUAAAGUUCUUUAAUUGGGGACGAAAAAAAUGACGGUACCCAAGGAAUAAGCCCCGGCUAACUACGUGCCAGCAGCCGCGGUAAUACGUAGGGGGCAAGCGUUAUCCGGAUUUACUGGGUGUAAAGGGAGCGUAGACGGUAGAGCAAGUCUGAAGUGAAAGCCCGCGGCUCAACUGCGGGACUGCUUUGGAAACUGUUCAACUGGAGUGCUGGAGAGG